rnacentral:lncRNA from 1 species
UAACAUUUGGGCAAAAGCUUCAAUAUGUUACAAUCUAUCAUUUUAUUACUAUCUACUACAAACUUAAACGAAAAUAUAAUGUCGUUAGAUUUUAGCUGAUGAGUUGUGUAUAUGGUAUUAUAGUUUCAGCCAUGUCACCCAAACCGCACAAAUGUCCAAUAACGUUGGAUCAUUUUAAUGUUUCUUUAAAUUGGUGAAAUAAUUUAGAUUGAGUAUUUGUGCGGACGAAAAAUUAAAUUAGAGCUUGCCUAUCUUUAUUAAACCCUAGAAUGGCCUCUUCUUCCUUAUUCUUCCCCCAAAUUGCCAACCCCAAUUCCAUCCUUUCAAUUCAAUUUUGUCUUGUGUCUCUCCACUUGGGUCCACCGGCCGUCUUCUCUGUUUCUCAAAUUUCGCCCACUUUUCCUUCUGGUUAUCUCCAGUCCAAGUUCUGGUGAGAUCAUCGAUCGUUCAUUAUUUUUAUAACUUCUUUGAGAUUGUCCAUCUUUGUUUCAUCUUCCUUUUUUCUUGUGAUUUCAGAUCCCAAAGAUUAUUGGCGCCAUCUCAAACGUGUAGAGGUGUAGUGCACACCGAAUGUAAAUUCAGUGGUCGGAAGUGUUCCCACCAGUGAGAUGCUAUGGUGAAGGUACCGGAACGAAGAAAAAUAGAGGAAAAUUGUUCUUGUCCCUUUUGGAACAUUUCGAGCAUUGACUAUGGCUACUUCAAAUGGGUUGACGAAGAUGAAAUGAGCACGGUGCAUGUGAACAUGGUGGCUGAGUUGACGAAAUUGAAUGAGUGGCCGAGUUGGAAAGAUGAAGUUCAAUAGAUUGGCUUAUCAUGAUAUCGAGGAAUGGAUUGGCUGUAUUGUUGUUGCUAUUUGUACUUGUACUAGCCUUUUGCCCCGUCCAUUGGAUGGGUUUAUUUAAAAUAAAACCAAUGUUUAACAAUAUUGGUAUGAUAUGAAUAAUAUAUUUGAAGUUAAACCUGUUUAGUUUUAUUAAUAUGGUGAUUUUGGUAUAGUAUUUUUUUUUCAUUGUUAAAUUGUUUUACGGUUCAACCAAUUUAAAUUGAGUGGGUGUAGGUGAGUUGUUCAAACCUGACAAACUCAACCAAUAUAUAAAAGAAUGCUACUUACUUCUAUCAUAUUCAAUAUUAAACUUCUAAUUCUCAGUAAGCAAGUAAAAUCAAGACCUUUCUUCAUGGAUUCACUCUCCAUUUUUUGUUGGCGAUUUUUGUUACGGUGGAUUCUUUUGCUUGAAAUUAUGCGUUUUGUGAUAUGAACAUCAUUUUGACCUAUUUCAUUUGUUUGGAAUCAUAUUUAAUAGUUAGGUGAAGUAGAUUUGGUUGUAUUUAUCAUAAUGGAUUCAAACCAAUUAGAGAUCUUAUUUUUUAUAAUUUAUCCAAAUUUACUUGUCAUUUGAUAUAUAAACCACCCAACCCAACCGCUCACCAAAUCGCUCACCAAAUAUGAGUGGGUAUGAGUCACAAAAAAGUGACCAAUCUAUUUUUGACUAAGUAAGUUUGAGUAUUAA